rnacentral:rRNA from 1 species
GUCGCCUCCUAAAAGGUAACGGAGGCGCUCAAAGGUUCCCUCAGAAUGGUUGGAAAUCAUUCAUAGAGUGUAAAGGCAUAAGGGAGCUUGACUGCGAGACCUACAAGUCGAGCAGGGUCGAAAGACGGACUUAGUGAUCCGGUGGUUCCGCAUGGAAGGGCCAUCGCUCAACGGAUAAAAGCUACCCCGGGGAUAACAGGCUUAUCUCCCCCAAGAGUUCACAUCGACGGGGAGGUUUGGCACCUCGAUGUCGGCUCAUCGCAUCCUGGGGCUGUAGUCGGUCCCAAGGGUUGGGCUGUUCGCCCAUUAAAGCGGUACGCGAGCUGGGUUCAGAACGUCGUGAGACAGUUCGGUCCCUAUCCGUCGUGGGCGUAGGAAAUUUGAGAGGAGCUGUCCUUAGUACGAGAGGACCGGGAUGGACAUACCUCUGG